AUCAAAGAAUAAAUCACAUUGAAUGCACCCAAUCUCAUCAGAUGUUGGGACCUAAGCAGGUUCAGCCUGGUUAGCACCUGAAUGGGAAACUGCUGAGGAAUACCAGGUGUUGUAGCUU
rnacentral:rRNA from 1 species